GAGUUCCAGACAGCUGCAGGUCACAGGCACCCUGUGACAAUGACGUAUCCAGAGCCGCUGCCUGAAAAAACAGGGUGCUCAGGCUAAAGCCUUGAGGAAAAGAAGCCGCAUGGGCCUGCCCUAAGGGGGACUUCUGGGGCUAAUAUGAAGGAAAGUUCCAGGAUCCCUGUAAACCCUGUCUGAGCAGCGUGACUGUGAGGAUCAAAAGGACAACGUCAGAGAAGAUUUUCUUUGAAAACUGCCAGUGUCCCUGGGAGUGAAGAUUUUGAAGAGCAUAUGAGGAAGUUGAAAAACAGAGAACCUUCUGUCUGGUGAACAAGACAGGAAAUGAGAUGGAAGGAAGGUGAGAAGAAGAAGGAAAAGAGGGAGAGGAAAAGAAGAAAAGCAAGGAAGAAAGGCAAUCUCUGUUUUCCAAGGGUUUUUCUAGAGAAAAAGAAGCCUGGGAAGGCCCUGGCCUGUUCCACAGAAACAGAGUACGUCUGGAGGGAAAUCCCCAAGGAAGCUUCUGGGAAAUCCUGAGGAAGAGGUCCACCUCCAUGAGCGACGUUGGAUUUGUUCAGCAAUCCGGAGGCCACCUCAGAGGCACUGUUGACUGAGAUUAAUUCAGGAGGUGGCCUCCCAUAUCAAGAACAAUGUUAAGGGCUAAGAGUCUAUGUUUGUUUUCUUUGACAUGGAGAAACUCUGGCUUACAGACAGAGUCAGGCAAUGAAGGCAUUUCACGGCAAAAUCCAACCUUUGCAAGGAACAAAUUUGGAA